rnacentral:rRNA from 1 species
GACGAACGCUGGCGGCGUGCUUAACACAUGCAAGUCGAACGAGAUCCAAUCAGUAGCAAUACUGAUGAAGAUCUAGUGGCGAACGGGUGCGUAACACGUGAGGAACUUGUCCCGGUCUCUGGGAUAACAGUUGGAAACGACUGCUAAUACCGGAUGACGUCGGAACUUCGCAUGGAGUACUGACGAAAGGGUUACUGGAUCGGGAGAGCCUCGCGGCCUAUCAGCUGGUUGGUGGGGUAACGGCCUACCAAGGCAUCGACGGGUAGCUGGUCUGAGAGGAUGAUCAGCCACACUGGGACUGAGACACGGCCCAGACUCCUACGGGAGGCAGCAGUGGGGAAUCUUGCACAAUGGGCGAAAGCCUGAUGCAGCAACGCCGCGGUG